GGCCAGUACAGAGAUGCCAGGAUGGGGGUGAUGUGAUGGUGUUGAGAGGGGAGCCAGUACAGAGAUGCCAGGAUGGGGGUGAUGUGAUGGUGUUUCGCACUCUCAUCAGGAUCCUGGCAGGGCUGUUCUGGAUGUACUGGAGACUUUGGGACUGACAGGGAUCCAGGUGAAGACUGUGUUGUAGUCCUGAGACUCCUGACAGGGAUCCUGGUGAAGAGUACGUUGUAGUUCUGGAGACUCCUGACAGGGAUCCUGGUGAAGACUGUGUUGUAUCCUGGAGACUCCUGACAGGAUCCU